rnacentral:rRNA from 1 species
AGGGUUGGGUUAGUCCCCUAACGAGCGCAACCCCUGUGUCUAGUUGCCAGCGGGUCAUGCCGGGAACUCUAGACAGACCGCCGGCGUUAAGCCGGAGGAAGGCGGGGAUGACGUCAAGUCCUCAUGGCCCUUAUGCUUGGGGCUGCACACGUACUACAAUGGGGCGGACAGAGCGAUGCCAACCCGCAAGGGUGAGCCAAUCGCAGAAACCGCCCCUCAGUUCGGAUUGCGGGCUGCAACCCGCCCGCAUGAAGCUGGAAUCGCUAGUAAUCGCGGAUCAGCAUGCCGCGGUGAAUGUGUUCCUGAGCCUUGUACACACCGCCCGU